AUGACUCUCACCCUCGCGGGUUCUUUCAGCACCCCCAAAAAGUUUUCUUCAAAUAACAAUUUUUUUAUAAAUUCCAAUUCUCAUUUUCCUAAUGAAAAGCUAGGUAGCAUUUUUUUCUCCCCCUCAGUUGAGUGUUUUCUGGAUUCGACUGGAAGGGUGUCUCCUACACUUGUUGUUGUGGAGCAGAUGAUGGUUCCACCAUCCUUGCCCCUGGAGGUUUCAGAAUUUUGUGGCGCUAGAAACGGAAGAUUUAUCAGUUUAAGGGUCUCUUGA